rnacentral:rRNA from 1 species
AUUGAACGCUGGCGGCAUGCCUUACACAUGCAAGUCGAACGCGAAAGUAGGGGCAACCCUGCGAGUAGAGUGGCGAACGGGUGAGUAAUGCAUCGGAACAUUUCCAGUAGCGGGGGAUAACCUCGAGAAAUCGAGGCUAAUACCGCAUACGUCCUACGGGAGAAAGCGGGGGACCGCAAGGCCCCGCACUAUUGGAGUGGCCGAUGCCGGAUUAGCUAGUUGGCGGGGUAAAAGCCCACCAAGGCGACGAUCCGUAGCUGGUCUGAGAGGAUGAUCAGCCACACUGCGACUGAGACACGGCCCAGACUCCUACGGGAGGCAGCAGUGGGGAAUUUUGGACAAUGGGCGCAAGCCUGAUCCAGCCAUGCCGCGUGAGUGAAGAAGGCCUUCGGGUUGUAAAGCCCUUUCGGCCGGGACGAAAUCGCACCCUUUAAUACGGGGUGUGGAUGACGGUACCGGAAGAAGAAGGACCGGCUAACUACGUGCCAGCAGCCGCAGUAA